rnacentral:rRNA from 1 species
UCGAGCGAACAGACGAGGAGCUUGCUCCUCUGACGUUAGCGGCGGACGGGUGAGUAACACGUGGAUAACCUACCUAUAAGACUGGGAUAACUUCGGGAAACCGGAGCUAAUACCGGAUAAUAUAUUGAACCGCAUGGUUCAAUAGUGAAAGACGGUUUUGCUGUCACUUAUAGAUGGAUCCGCGCCGCAUUAGCUAGUUUGGUAAGGUAACGGCUUACCAAGGCAACGACGCGUAGCCGACCUGAGAGGGUGAUCGGCCACACUGGAACUGAGACACGGUCCAGACUCCUACGGGAGGCAGCAGUAGGGAAUCUUCCGCAAUGGGCGAAAGCCUGACGGAGCAACGCCGCGUGAGUGAUGAAGGUCUUCGGAUCGUAAAACUCUGUUAUUAGGGAAGAACAAAUGUGUAAGUAACUAUGCACGUCUUGACGGUACCUAAUCAGAAAGCCACGGCUAACUACGUGCCAGCAGCCGCGGUAAUACGUAGGUGGCAAGCGUUAUCCGGAAUUAUUGGGCGUAAAGCGCGCGUAGGCGGUUUUUUAAGUCUGAUGUGAAAGCCCACGGCUCAACCGUGGAGGGUCAUUGGAAACUGGAAAACUUGAGUGCAGAAGAGGAAAGUGGAAUUCCAUGUGUAGCGGUGAAAUGCGCAGAGAUAUGGAGGAACACCAGUGGCGAAGGCGACUUUCUGGUCUGUAACUGACGCUGAUGUGCGAAAGCGUGGGGAUCAA